rnacentral:rRNA from 1 species
AGGAUUGCACAUGGGGGAAACCUGAUGCAGCUAUACCGCGUGUGUGAUGAAGGUCUUAGGAUUGUAAAACACUUUCAGCAAGGGAAAAAAUUAUAUAAAUAAUACUUAUAUUAACUGAUAUUACCUGCAAAAGAAGUACCGGCUAACUCCGUGCCAGCAGCCGCGGUAAUACGGAGGGUACAAGCGUUAAUCGGAAUUAUUGGGCGUAAAGAGUACGUAGGUGGUAUAUUAAGUCAGAUGUGAAAUACUUAAGCUUAACUUAAGAACUGCAUUUGAAACUAAUAAACUAGAGUUUUAUAGAGGGGAGUAGAAUUCCAAGUGUAGCGGUGAAAUGCGUAGAUAUUUGGAGGAAUACCAGAGGCGAAGGCGACUCCCUGGGUAAUAACUGACACUGAGGUACGAAAGCUUGGGGAGCAAACAGGAUUAGAUACCCUGGUAGUCCAUGCUGUAAACGAUGUCAAUUUGAAGAUUGUAAUAUUAUUAUUUUUUAUAAUUUUCGUAGCUAACGCAUUAAAUUGACCGCCUGGGGAUUACGACCGCAAGGUUAAAACUCAAAUGAAUUGACGGGGACCCGCACAAGCGGUGGAGCAUGUCGGUUUAAUUCGAUACAACGCGAAAAACCUUACUACUCUUGACAUCUAUAAGUAAUAAAGCAGAAAUGUUUUAAGUAU